rnacentral:rRNA from 1 species
AAUUGCCAUCAUUCAGUUGGGCACUUUAGAGAGACUGCCGGUGUUAAGCCGGAGGAAGGUGGGGAUGACGUCAAGUCCUCAUGGCCUUUAUGUCUAGGGCUACACACGUGCUACAAUGGGUGGUACAAAGAGCAGCUAACUCGCGAGAGUAUGCAAAUCUCAAAAAGCCAUCCUCAGUUCGGAUUGGAGUCUGCAACUCGACUCCAUGAAGUUGGAAUCGCUAGUAAUCGCGGAUCAGCAUGCCGCGGUGAAUACGUUCCCGGGCCUU